rnacentral:rRNA from 1 species
AUUGAACGCUGGCGGCAUGCUUUACACAUGCAAGUCGAACGGUAACAGGCCGCAAGGUGCUGACGAGUGGCGAACGGGUGAGUAAUGCAUCGGAACGUGCCCAGUCGUGGGGGAUAACGCAGCGAAAGCUGUGCUAAUACCGCAUACGAUCUAUGGAUGAAAGCGGGGGACCGUAAGGCCUCGCGCGAUUGGAGCGGCCGAUGUCAGAUUAGGUAGUUGGUGGGGUAAAGGCCUACCAAGCCGACGAUCUGUAGCUGGUCUGAGAGGACGUCCAGCCACACUGGGACUGAGACACGGCCCAGACUCCUACGGGAGGCAGCAGUGGGGAAUUUUGGACAAUGGGCGCAAGCCUGAUCCAGCAAUGCCGCGUGCAGGAAGAAGGCCUUCGGGUUGUAAACUGCUUUUGUACGGAACGAAACGGUCUGGGUUAAUACCCUGGGCUAAUGACGGUACCGUAAGAAUAAGCACCGGCUAACUACGUGCCAGCAGCCGCCGUAAUAC